UACGAAGGGAGCUAGCGUUGUUCGGAAUUACUGGGCGUAAAGCGCACGUAGGCGGAUCGAUCAGUCAGGGGGUGAAAUCCCAGAGCUCAACUCUGGAACUGCCUUUGAUACUGCAAGUCUUGAGUCCGGAAGAGGUGAGUGGAAUUCCUAGUGUAGAGGUGAAAUUCGUAGAUAUUAGGAAGAACACCAGUGGCGAAGGCGGCUCACUGGUCCGGUACUGACGCUGAGGUGCGAAAGCGUGGGGAGCAAACAGG
rnacentral:rRNA from 1 species